rnacentral:rRNA from 1 species
AUUGAACGCUGGCGGCAUGCCUUACACAUGCAAGUCGAACGGUAACAGGUCUUCGGAUGCUGACGAGUGGCGAACGGGUGAGUAAUACAUCGGAACGUGCCCGAUCGUGGGGGAUAACGAGGCGAUAGCUUUGCUAAUACCGCAUACGAUCUACGGAUGAAAGCGGGGGAUCUUCGGACCUCGCGCGGACGGAGCGGCCGAUGGCAGAUUAGGUAGUUGGUGGGAUAAAAGCUUACCAAGCCGACGAUCUGUAGCUGGUCUGAGAGGAUGAUCAGCCACACUGGGACUGAGACACGGCCCAGACUCCUACGGGAGGCAGCAGUGGGGAAUUUUGGACAAUGGGCGAAAGCCUGAUCCAGCCAUGCCGCGUGCAGGAUGAAGGCCUUCGGGUUGUAAACUGCUUUUGUACGGAACGAAAAGCCUCUUUCUAAUAAAGAGGGGUCAUGACGGUACCGUAAGAAUAAGCACCGGCUAACUACGUG